rnacentral:lncRNA from 1 species
ACAAUUCAAUCAAGAGAGAUUGAAUUUUUGGUGUAUGAAACCGGAAAAGAGAUCGAGUAGAACUUAACUUGAUCCAAUCUGGUGGAAUUUUUUUACAUCCUUUAGAAACUUCAAUGCAGAAUUUGACAUUUCCCCAAAUAGAAAACUCCAAAUUAGGAUAUUCUAAAUAGUCUCUCAAUUCUUGAAGGUGAAAAUCCAUUUCAGUUCUGACCAUCAAAAUACUCAUUUUCAGCUCUCGAAUUUCCUGUGCCAACUCAUAAUCUACAUCGUUUGGCUCUUCUGAUAAAUCAAAAUUGUCAAUAUCCUUGAACAUGUCAACCUUGUUGUUAUUUUCAGCUUCUUUUUGAUCAAACAUUCCCAAGAAAUGAUCAAUGAUAGACGAUAUGCUAGGAAGCUGUUGAAUUAGUCUUCUAAGCAAUGCUGACUUAAAACAAGAGUAUGAAUUUUUCGAGAAAGCAGAUGCGGCUUUAUAAAAACCCUUCAAAACAUGGAACAUUUCAGACGGAGUGCACUACUGUAAGAAAAUGAAACAGAAAAAUAACUUACCCUUUGAUAGUAGAUUCUGGACAGACCCUUUUCGAGAUCGGGCAAUCUAUACAGCAUUUUACGAAUUGCUUGAACUUGACUAUUAGAAUUAAAGGCUAAUUCCUCAACCGCGUCCAGACGCUCGAUUAUAUUUUCUUUAUCAACCAAAGGCUUUUGAAGCCAUCUCUGAAGCAUCCUUUGUCCAAAUCUUGUGUAUGUGCGAUCUAACACCCAAAAUAGGCUACCAACAGGUGUAUGAUCUGUUUGAUUAACGAAAAGCUCAAGACCUUCCAAAGCCUGUUUACUUAAAACCAUAGAAGAAAUGCUAUCAAAAGGUUGAUAAAAGUUUGAAGCAACGAAUAGAUCUUCCAAUGAGAAUUCCAUCAAAUAAGAAAUGGCCAUGUCCAAACAAAUGAUUGAAAGAGAAUGUAAAGACUUCACCUUUUCCAUGUGUAAUUCUAUAAUUUUGCUACCGGACAUGAUGCAUUUAGAAGAAAAGAAGUCCUGCAAAUUCUCCAAUGCUAGUUUCACGUCCUGCUGAACAGCAUGUUGCACACGCACUACUCUACCGCAAGUUUUUUCAGUUGAUACGUAAUGAUUCAGUAGGGCAACCGAUUCGGAAGAUAACUUGUUCGAAUAUAUCAAUUCACAAGGUUGAAAAUGAGAAAGUCUUGUUUGUAAUUCGCUUCUCAAAAAAUCAUCUUGAAAAUGAUCAUAAACAGUAGUUCCAGAUGAUAAUUGUAUGGCAAUUAGUCCAACCUGAACUCUUCCUGAUUUUGCUUUGCUCUUAUCAACAUUAUCUGCAACACAUAGGAUAAAUUGGGAAGCUUGUAGUGUACCAUGCUGUGUUUGCUCAAAGCGAAAAAAGCUAUCAUCUAGAGUAGUCCCCUUGGUAAGCACGCGAGCAACUCGUCUGUCAAACAGAGUGUUUCUGCUAGAGCUAGUUGACUUGAGAGCGGCUGUUUCAGUUUGUCGAACAACAGCAACUUUGAGACCAAAAUUAAUGAGUCUUUCCAAGUGAUAGUCAAUACGAUACGAGGGAACACUAGCAUUUAAAAAAUUGUGCUCAAAAUAGCAACUAAUUCCUAACACCUCAGAGGCUAUUUUUGCAUCCUUCCCAAAAAAUCGGAACUUAUAU